GCAAACUUGGUCAUUUAGAGGAAGUAAAAGUCGUAACAAGGUCUCCGUAGGUGAACCUGCGGAGGGAUCAUUACCGAGUGAGGGCUCGCGCCCGACCUCCCAACCCUUUGAAGUGACCAACUCUGUUGCCUUGGGGGGCGACCCGGCCCCCGCGUCGGGCCCCCAACGGACCACUCAGACACUGCGUUUUGCGUCGGAGUUUAAAAGGAAAUCAAUCAAAACUUUCAACAACGGAUCUCUUGGUUCUGGCAUCGAUGAAGAACGCAGC
rnacentral:misc_RNA from 1 species